rnacentral:rRNA from 1 species
AUUGAACGCUGGCGGCAGGCCUAACACAUGCAAGUCGAACGAGUGGCGGACGGGUGAGUAAUGUCUGGGAACCUGCCCGCUGGAGGGGGAUAACUACUGGAAACGGUAGCUAAUACCGCAUACCAUCGGAUGUGCCCAGAUGGGAUUAGCUAGUAGGUUGGGUAAAGUCUGACCUAGGCGACGAUCCCUAGCUGGUCUGAAAGGAUGACAAGCCACAAUGGAACUGAGACACGGUCCAGACUCCUACGGGAGGCAGCAGUGGGGAAUAUUGCACAAUGGGCGCAAGCCUGAUGCAGCCAUGCCGCGUGUAGGAAGAAGGCCUUCGGGUUGUAAAGUACUUUCAGCGGGGAGGCGUUACCCGCAGAAGAAGCACCGGCUAACUCCGUGCCAGCAGCCGCGGUAAUAC